CUCAUUUCGAAAGUUGGUCUGAAUAGAUGGAAUUAAGUAUUCUUAUUUGAGCGUGUAUGCAGAGUGAAUACGAAUCAAGUCAGUUUUGAAACGGUUGCGCUGAAGGACGGACGUAAAGUCACGACAAAAGAUCUGUCUUGUCAGAUUCGAAUAAAUAUAUUUUCACUGCGAAGAGACGGAAGAGACCGAAACCCCCAAAACAAAAACAAGUGGCAAGCUGCAACGACAAAAAGGAAAAUUUUCUGGAGAUUUUCCUACAGUUAGUUUUUCCAGUUUUCCACGUUUCAUCAGCAUCGAUUCGGCCCUACAAUAGUGGCAAGGAUUCAUAUCAAAGAACUAAAACAAAACAUGGUAAAGAUCUUUCGGAAUCUCGGAAGGGGAGUUCGAUCUUUGAUGGGCGGGAGGGUCGUGGCCAACCAAUCAACCCAAAGAUAGUAAAAAUCUAAAAUCCAGGACAGCCGUUGGACGAGUUUGAGGAUAUAUCCGUUACUGCAAAAUAUAAAUAAUUGUGAAUGAGAUUUUCUAAAGGAACCCAGAACUGACCGCAGUGCAAGGAUAGUGCAUGUAUUGUGAAUAAUGGAUGAAAGGACACAAUUUAUGUUUAUUGAUCAGUACAGAUUUUAAAUAAACUUAUAUUUACAUGAGA